CCUACGGGAGGCAGCAGUGAGGAAUAUUGGUCAAUGGGCGCAAGUCUGACCCAGCCAAGUAGCGUGCAGGAUGACGGCCCUCCGGGUUGUAAACUGCUUUUAGUUGGGAAUAAAAGGGGGGUCGUGAGCCCCGUAUUGUAUGUACCAUCAGAAGAAGGACCGGCUAAUUCCGUGCCAGCAGCCGCGGUGAUACGGAAGGUCCGGGCGUUAUCCGGAUUUAUUGGGUUUAAAGGGAGCGUAGGCCGGCCUGUAAGUCAGCUGUGAAAGCCCGCGGCUCAACCGGGGAAUUGCAUUUGAAACGGGAGGCCUUGAGUGCAAACAGGGAUACCGGAAUUCAUGGUGUAGCGGUGAAAUGCUUAGAUAUCAGGAAGAACUCCGAUCGCGAAGGCAAGUGUCCGGGGUGCAACUGACGCUGAGGCUCGAAAGUGCGGGUAUCAAACAGGAUUAGAUACUCGGGUAGUC
rnacentral:rRNA from 1 species